CUAGCUGUGUGUGUGUGAGAGAGAGUGAGAGAGAGACAGAGAGAGGGACGACUCUUAUUCCCACAGUGUCCUGAUAAUGAGCUCGUCCUCCUUAAGACGUCCUGCGUGACCUCACUGAGAGAGGACUAGUUCAGAUAUUUAUACUCCCUGCUACAGAAGUGUGUCACAGAGUACGAGAUUCCGGCAGCAUCGCCAACACACACGCGACACCUUUCAGUGACAACGAAUGAUGCUUUUUUCAUUGGAUCACUAGGAUCUCUACAGUGUCCUGCUUUUUAUACGUUUUUUUAAAUUAUCAAUAAACUACUCACUAUUCCACACGCCAUCAUCUGACUAAAGAUGCCGGAUUCUUUUGCAUACCAAAACACCUCUUUUUCCGCUGAAACUAAACCAACCAAAAGAAACCGCACUGCUAAAUCAUCCAUAAAUCAUCGUUGUCCUUCGGACAUCUUGUUAACAUCCUAACAUCCUGUAAGAGUGAAUCCCAUCUCACUGAGCUAUUGAGCAGCUUCUCCCACUGGGGAAAUCAACGUCGGUGGAAAACGAGCAGGUUUCCAUGGAAACACAUUUGUAACCAGCAUAGGAGGAGAGCAGGAAGGACAGAUAGACAGGGAGGAAAUGAGAUCACUGCUUUCUGGAGCUAGUACAGAGGUAAACUCUCCCUACUCUCAGGACACUGAGGAACACGAUACUAAUGGCGAGUAGAAAUAUCAGCGAGAACGUCGGUCUGAUCGGCCUGAGACUCUUUACUGGAUGUAUUUUUUCCGAUCUGAAUAAAUUCUGAUGGAUUUUA